rnacentral:rRNA from 1 species
CAGCCGCCGCGGUAAUACGUAGGGUGCGAGCGUUACCCGGAUUUACUGGGCGUAAAGCGCGCGUAGGUGGUUUGUUAAGUUGGAUGUGAAAUCCCCGGGCUCAACCUGGGAACUGCAUUCAAAACUGACUGACUAGAGUAUGGUAGAGGGUGGUGGAAUUUCCUGUGUAGCGGUGAAAUGCGUAGAUAUAGGAAGGAACACCAGUGGCGAAGGCGACCACCUGGACUAAUACUGACACUGAGGUGCGAAAGCGUGGGGAGCAAACAGGAUUAGAUACCCGCGUAGUCCCUGUCUCUUAUAC